rnacentral:lncRNA from 10 species
CUGCUGAGGAGGUAGAGGGAGUAUUCACAGCCAAGUUGCCACGAUUUUGUCGUUAUGGAGACAGACAUGCUGAGCUUCAAAACGAGGCUGUUUUUCUCCAGGUAUGAUGUUGCUGUGGAAACACAAAGCCCGAAUCCUCAAAGAACACUCUGUUCUAGUCCCAGCUGCUUUAUCCGUCUGCGUUGUGUCUCAUUAGCAGAAGAGCCUAGUGAGAUAGGAGUCGCAUCUCUGCUCACUCAUAUCUCUAGAGAAGGGCCCUACCCCUGGACUUUUUCCUGGAUACUUCUUGAAACAGAAUUCACUGUAGUGAUGUCAGCAAGAUGAUUGACUAGAGAUGCCUGGCACUCAUCCCUCUGCCACAAGAAAGGACCAAGGCAAUGAAAAAACAGCUAAGAUUGAUUGGUGUGUUGAAGGCAGAGCAUUGGAGGGUAGUGGGAGAAUGGAGACAUACCUGUGGUAAUUGGAAGUCCAGAAGGACAACAAGGAGGCACCCAACCUCUGCAACCUUGUCUUCCCUGCUUGGAUCAGAUCUGCCUGGAGUCAGUGGGGACUUCCUGUUGUGGGAAAAAUAAGAUCUCCACCUGUCCCCAUUGCCAUUGCAAACACUGCAGUUGCCUACAACAGGAGAAUCUCACAGUUCCUGAAAGCCCUGAGCCCAGACUGAAGAGCUGCCAGGAAUUCACACAGCUGCAUUGUCCUCAAUUAGGAGCACAAGAUUUGCACUCCUCACCCCUACCCAUCCACCAUGAACCAAGUUGUGGCAGUAUUGUACCAUAUAGAGACCAGAGCUACCUCUGUUCUGGGACGCCUUGCUCUGGG